AACGAACGCUGGCGGCAUGCCUAACACAUGCAAGUCGAACGAGACCUUCGGGUCUAGUGGCGCACGGGUGCGUAACGCGUGGGAACCUGCCCUUAGGUUCGGAAUAACUCCCCGAAAGGGGUGCUAAUACCGGAUAAUGUCUUAGGACCAAAGAUUUAUCGCCUUUGGAUGGGGCCGCGUUGGAUUAGCUAGUUGGUAGGGUAAAAGCCUACCAAGGCGACGAUCCAUAGCUGGUCUGAGAGGAGGAUCAGCGACACUGGGACUGAGACACGGCCCAGACUCCUACGGGAGGCAGCAGUGGGGAAUAUAGGACAAGGGGCGAAAUCCUGAUCCAGCAAGGCCGCGUGAGUGAUGAAGGCCUUAGGGUUGUAAAGCUCUUUUACCCGGGAGGAUAAUGACAGUACCGGUAGAAUAAGCUCCGGCUAACUCCUU
rnacentral:rRNA from 1 species